rnacentral:rRNA from 1 species
UACGAAGGGGCUAGCGUUGCUCGGAAUCACUGGGGGUAAAGGGUGCGUAGGCGGGUCUUUAAGUCAGGGGUGAAAUCCUGGAGCUCAACUCCAGAACUGCCUUUGAUACUGAGGAUCUUUGAGUCCGGGAGAGGUGAGUGGAACUGUGAGUGUAGAGGUGAAAUUCGUAGAUAUUCGCAAGAACACCAGUGGCGAAGGCGGCUCACUGGCCCGGUACUGACGCUGAGGCACGAAAGCGUGGGGAGCAACAGG